rnacentral:miRNA from 1 species
UGUGCUAUAUGCACACAUGUAUUUGUGUGUAUGCACUACACACACACACACACACACACGUGCAUGUACACACAAAAA